GCCCGCGUGUGGAGCCAGGUGU
rnacentral:miRNA from 2 species